AGAUGGUUAAGACAAUCAAUAUGUGACAUGAAAGAAAAAAGGCUAUCUUAGUCUGUUUUCUGUUACCUGAAUUCCAUAAACUGAGUAAUUUAUAAAGAAAAUAAAUGUAUUUAUUUCUUACAGUUCUAGAGGCUGAUAAGUCCAAGCAUAUGGUGCCAGCAUCUGGUGAGGCCUUCUUGCUGUGUAAUCUCAUGGCAGAAGAGUGGAAGGACAAGUGAGCACAUGCAAAAGGGAUUGUACAAGAGUGAAGGCAGUUUUCCUACAGAAACCUUCAAAAAAGGAGAUGCAUCCUUCCUUGUUCCUGGCAGUCUUGCAUUUGAGGAAAUCAGUAUGCUCCAACUUAGACUUAUCUUUUAGUCUCCAGAGGCAGAAAAAAAGCAGAAAAGGUUGUUGAAAUUCUUCACAUUGAUUUCAGGGCAAUGAUCUCAAACGGCGCAGUGGGAACCCGCAAAUUUAAGAGGGUAGUUUCCCUGCACAAGCCCUUUUUUUGCCUGCUGCCAUCCGUGUAAGAUGUGACUUGCUCCUCCUUGUCUUCUACCAUGAUUGUGAGGCCUCCCCAGUUAUGUGGAACUCUAGAGGAAACCAAAGUCAUAGAACAUCUGAACUCUGUCCAAACAUCGGUCGUAUUUCAAAAUUUCAGAGCCUCAGACUUCCAUGAUAAUAUCUGCCUAGUCUUUAGAAGAGUGUAUGGAAGUGUUCAAGAACCUUUCCUGAAACAACUUCUAUUACAGACACUGCUUCUUCAUGGUUAUUCCAUCAGAUUGCAAUCACUUAUAUGUUUUUUUCCACUCUUCCUUAUAUUAUGAGCACUUUUCACGUAGGGGUUCAUCUCUUUAAUAAUCAUAGCUCCCAACACAAUUGUAGGCUUAUAUUAGAUGCUCGAUAAAGAUGAGUUGAGUUAACAUGUAAAGUAAUGAAUGAGUAAGGAAAAAUAGAAUAGUUUCGAAUUAAUGCAUGUUACUGCUACUGUAAAUUUAAUGUUUUCAUUUCUAUUACUAUUUAUAUAUAAAUUUAAUUAAUUGUUAACUUUCUUUGCCAUCCAUACAUCUAUUUAUCUGCUCAUUUGAAAAUCUCUUUCCUGUUUCCUAUUAUUCAAAAUAUUAAAAGCAAAUAUUACUUAAAUAUUUAAAUCACUCUUUUUCCAUGUUAAGUUUCUCAGGAUGCAGAAUGUUGCUGUACACUGAGAAAUAUUAGGCGAUACAAAAUGGCUACUAUAACGUAAUGUUCUAGAAAAUGAUAAAAGUCAAACCCAUUGGUUUUUGCUGCCAACACAAGUUUGUCAAUGUAAUUAAUGCCCUUUAGCCUGGGAGGGUUGUAUGACAGGAAAAAUGGCAUCAAAGCCAUUUUUAUUUAAAAAAUAAAUUUAAUAUUACUUGAUAAUAAGGGAGCUAUAUAAGCAAAAAUCUUAGAAUUUUCUUUUUCUUUUUUUUCCUUAGUUUCACAUCUUUCUACAUAGUAUCCAAAUCCCAGUUGUUGAUACUAAUUUUCUUGCCUUCUUACCCUUAACAAGUUUGGAGACAAAGUUAAUAUCAUUAGUAGUAUGUAAACUAAUUCCUAAAGCAAAAGUCUCUAAAAGUGUGAUCCAUGUCCCAUUUUUUAUUGGUCUGCAAUGAGGUAAGCACAGAAAUUUUAAUCACCUCCACGCAUACCUUCAAUGAGCAACAUGUACAGUUUUUUGAGACUCUUCUCUCUUUUCCUGUUAUUUUCUGAUUGCAUUUAUAAAAAUGCAAUUUUGUGUUUGUUGAAUCUGAUGAUAAAAAAUGAGGAAACACCGCAUAUUCUCACUCAUAGGUGGGAAUUGAACAAUGAGAUCACAUGGACA
rnacentral:lncRNA from 1 species